rnacentral:lncRNA from 1 species
GUACUAUGUAUCCCGUAUGUUUUCUAAAUGAAGGAGUGCAUGUCUUAGGUGUGGCUAAAUUCAAGCCAGAUUUUAUGGUACAAUAAAAAUGAUAAAACACUUUGGGGUCCAAUGCUCUGGCAGCAAAGGGUCAAGGGCAGGCAACUUAUCUGCGCAAAUACCUUCUCUACUAUUUAGAUAUUCCCCCACCUCUGCCUCCUGUGUCCAUAUGGUGACUCUAUUUUACAAAAAGCCAAAAAUCACAUGAUCUGACACAUGGUCUUAGCAGGGAAUAGAAUCUAUGAAAUUAUAACUGUCCCAGAAAAUCCAGCCCAUCUGGUAGGUGCUUUUUUUUUUAUUAAGAUAUAAUUUACAUACCAUAAAAGUCACCCUUUUAAAGUGUACAACUGUACAAUUCAGUGGUUUUUAGUAUAUUCAUAGAGUUGUGCAACCAUCAUGACUAUCUAAUUUCAGAACAUUUUCAUCACCCUAAAAAGAAAACCUUUGACCCAUUAGCAGUCAUUCCCUAUUCUCAUUCCCUCCCAGCCCCUGGCAGCCAUGAAUUUACUUUCUGUCUAUAGAUUUGCCUUUCCUGGACAUUUCCUAUAAAUAGAAUCAUGAAAUAUGUGGCCUUUUGUGUCUGGCUUUUUUCACUGAUACUUUCUUUAGGGCUUCAUGUUGUAGCAUGUAUCAGUACUUCAUUUCUUUUUAUUGACAAAUAGUAUUCCAUUGUAUGGAUAUACCAUAUUUUGUUUCUCCAUUUAUCAGCUGAUGGGCAUUUGGGUUGGUUCCACUCUUUGGCUGUUGUGAAUGCAACUAUAGAUGCUUUUAACACUGACCUACAAGGGAUGGGGUUGUGGUUAAUGAAACCAACAAAAAGGGCCUUUCCUUAUUGGACUUGUUGCCUAAGAGCAGUUUGGGAACAGGCUUUAAAGAGAGAGACCCAGAAAGGAAGGGAUGAUUGGAAGGCAAUAGAAGCUGUCUAUUUGGGUGACAUCAUCACUGGAGAGCAGGCUGCCCUGGCAGAAAAGACGAAGGAUAUACCAGUCCCAGUCUGACUUACCUCCAGAAGUGAUAGAAAAGUAGAGGGACAUUCAGCCCCAGCGUGAGCCACUCUUGCGCACACAGGAACAUAAUGCAGAAGAGGCUAUGGAUGGAGUAUUCUGGCAGCACCAGCUGAAGAGGGAGCAGAGACACGGCCCUGAGUUAGAGGAGGAAAACGCCACUCCUGCUUCUAUGGCAGCUGACUUCUGCCUGGACACUGCCUCUCACAGACGGUUGACACAAAGGCCCUCCCUGCAGCAACGUAGAGCCACUGCCCCAACACAGAUCCAUUUCUGGGGUCACCCAUGGAUGGCCACUGGGAAGACUGGAAGAGCUGGUCCAGCCCAUGUGUCAUCUGACCCAAGGCAGGACCACUAGGAGAAAUACUGCAAGGGUUUCUAAUGAAUCCAUAACUGCCCUGCUCUUGUUUUUCUGGCCCCUGUGUAUCCUCCUAUAGUAACUCACAAACCUAAAGUGAAUAUGUACAUUUAUCACAAAUAUAGGAGGGUCAGGAAAAAAUGGCCAGCCUCAGAAGGCAGUGGCAUUUUGCCUGAUGGUGGAUGGAGCAAGAGGAACGCGAGAAAAACAACAAUUAGCAAUGAUGAAGAGGGACAGUGUAGCCUCUGGGGGAAGAGGGAAGAAACUGAUCCUGACCAAGAAAGGCCUGAUGGUGGGAAGUGUGACCAGCAGGAAGACUAAGCUCUCCCACCUCCAAUCCAGCCACACAGGUGGCUUCUCUAGAUGACCUCUUAUGCCUAGAACACUGAACAGGAUCCUUACAAGUAGAAGAGGCUCCUCCAAUUAAUCCAGAGACUUUUAGGAGUGACAGUGACCUUUUGAUACACACACUGAUCCUUGCCUACUUCACCAGCUGCUUCUUGUCACAAUGAUGUGGAAGAGGUAAGGAACCUCUUCCUUCUAGACCAAAUGGAAAUCAGCCAGGCCAUUUGCAUGAGGCCUGCACCAUAGCCAUUAUGGCUGCCUCCACUCACACCCAGCACUCAGCCUUCUGGAAGGUGGUAAGGUCUCAUUUUCCAGCUCUCAGGGGUUGGGGCUGCUGAUGGGCUGUGGGCAGAAGUGAUGUGGAGAGAAGGCCAGACCACUUAACGGCUGAUACAAAAUUCUCCAGAGUCUCUUUUCCUUUUCCUCUGACAAAGCAAAAAGCAUUUAGGAUGGUGGGUACUCCAUCAUCCUGAAGCCACAAGUAAGGAAAGAGGCCCCCAGGCAACUCAUGAUGGACUAGAGUGUGAGCAGUAAAGAAACUUGUGUUGUUUUAAGCUGCCAAGAGUUGAGUGUUGUUGUUGUUGUUGUU